GAGAGUAUAGCUCAGCGGCAUAGUGCCUGCCUGGCAAGCAUGAGGUCUUGAGUUUGAUUCCUAAUCCCCUCG
rnacentral:tRNA from 1 species